rnacentral:lncRNA from 1 species
UUUAGACAUCGGGAGCCUCAAUUUUCAAAGAAAAUGAGGUAUUGCCCCUCAUUUUCUAGUUUCACCCAAUUCGAGCAAAAAAGGCCCAAAACCACUUAUUAUAGCACACGAGUUUCUGGCCAUUUUCAAUUUUUUUAGGCCUCCUGUUUUUUCCCUUUGAGUGUGCUUAUAGACACCUCUUAACAUCUUUUGAACCAUUUUAGCAUCAAAAUUUCAUGUCAGUUAUUGUUUUAUUCAAGAUCGGGCUUCAACGACUUUCGUGCAUCGUGUAUCGUAAAUCUAUUGAAACUGUUAUUUUCUGGGGUAUUGGGUGAAGUUGCCAAGAUCGUGUUGACUUCACUUCUUCUCAUACAGACAUCGGGAACCUCAAUUUUUAAAGAAAAUGAGGUAUUGCCUCUCAUUUUUAAGUUUCACCUAAUUCGAGCCAAAAGACUUAAAACCGCCUUGACCUGCAUUGGGCCACCUUGACCCUCCUAGACCCGCCUAGGGCCAUCUUGACCCUCCUAGAUCCGCCAAGGGGCUACCUAGAGCCUCUAUGUGGCCGUCUUGACCCGCUUUGGGCCGCCUUGACAUGCCUUGGGCCGCCUUAACCCGUCUUGGGCCGCCUAGACCCGCCUUGGGCCGCCUAGACCCGCUUUGGCCAGCCUUGACCCGCCUUGGACACUUAGUGCCACCAAGAAGCCGCCAUGAUUUGCCAAGGUGUCGCCAUGACCCUCCUAGGUCCAUCUAGGGCCGCCAAGGGACCGCCUUAACCCGCCUUAGGCCACCUUGACCCUCCUCGGCCCACCCUUAGGGAACGCCCUAAGGNGGCGCAAUGACCACCUAGGGUUGCCAAGGGGCUGCAUUGACCCAUCUAGGGCCGCAAAGAGGCUUCUUUGACCCUUCUAGGGCCGCCUUAACCCUCCUAGACCCGCCUAGAGCCACCAAGAAGCCGCCAUGACUCGCCAAAGGGUCUCCAUGACGCUUCUUGGGUUGCCUUAACCCGCCUUAGGCCGCCUUGACCCAUGUUAGCCCGCCUUAGGCCACCUUGACCCGCCCUGAACCGCUUUGGGCCGUCUUGACCCUCCUAGACUCGGCUAGGACCGCCUUGAUCCUCCUAGACUCGCCUAGGGUAAGAAGCCGCCAUGACUCGCCAUGACCCAUCAAGGGGCUCCUUUUACACGCCUUGACCCUCUUAAGGCCACCUUGACCAGUGUAGGGCCGCCUUAACCCGCCUAGAGCCGCUAAGAGGCUGCCUUUACACGCCUUGACACACCAAGGGCCGCUAAAGGGGCUGUUUUGACACGCCUAGGGCCGCCAAUGGGUGCCUUUACAUGUCUUAACCCGUUUAGGGUAGCCAAGAAACCGUCAUAACAUUCCUAGGGCCGCCUUGACACGCCUAGGGCCGCCAAGGGGAUGUCUUGACCAGUCAAUGGGCUACCUUUACACGCCUAGGGUUGUUUUGACCUCCCUAGGGACCGCCAUGACCCGCCUAGGGCCGCAAAGGGGCUGCAUACGUCCGCCAAGGGGCCACCUUGACCCGCCAUGGCUCACCAUGACCCGCUUUAACCUGGCUUGGCCCGCCAUGACCCGCCUAGGGCCGCCAAGGGGCUGCAUAUGUCCACAAAGGGGACACCUUGACCCGCCUUGGCCCGUUAUGACCCGUUUUGACCUGCCUUGGCCCGCCAUGACCCGCCUUGGCCCGUCUUGAACCGGCUUGACCCGGCUUUGGCCGCCUUGAACCGCCUUGGGCCGCUUUGACCCUCCUAGACCCACCUAGGGCCACCAAGAAGCCGCCAUGACUCCCCAAGGGGUCGCCAUGACCAUCUUAGGCCCGUCUGGGGCCGCCUUGACCCUCCUCGGCUCUUCUAGGCCUACCUUGGGCAGCCAACGACCGGCCAAGGGGGUGCCUUGACCUGCCUUGGCCCGCCUUGGAACUCCUUGGGCUGCCUUGCCCCGCCUUGGGCCGUGUUGGCCCGCCUUGAUCCGACUUGGACCGCCUUGACUCACCCUGAAACGCCUUAGGCCGCCUCCUAGACCCGCCUAGUCUCUCCUAGACCCGCGAAGGGGCUGCCUUUACACGCCUUGACCCGUCUAGGGCCACCAAGGACCGCCUUGAUCCGCCUUGGCCUUCGGUGGGCCGUCUUGGCCGGCCUUAACCCGCCUUGACCCUUCUUGACUCGCCUAGGGUCACCAAAAAGCCACCAUGACUCGCCAUGACCCAUCAAGGGGCUUCUUUUACACGCCUUCACCCUCCUAGACCCGCCUAGGGCCACCUUGACUCGUGUAGGGCCGCCAAGGGCCGCCUUAACCCGCCUUAAGCUGCCUUGACCCUUCUUGGCCCGCCUUGACCCUCCUCGGCCCUUUUAGGCCCACCUAGGGCAGCGAAGGGGGAGCCAUGGCCCACCUAGAGCCGCCAAGGGGCUGCAUGUACACGCCUUGACCCAACUAGGGCCUCCAAGGGGCUGCCUACGGCCGCCAUGGGGCUAACUUGACCCGUAUAGAGCCGCUUUGACCCGCCUUGGACCGGCUUGACCGACCUUGACCCGCUUUCAGCCUCUUUGACCCUCCUUUGCUUGCCUUGACCCACCUUAACCUGCCUUGGACUGCGUUGACCCGCCUUAGUCCGCCUUGAACAGCCUUAAACCGCCCUGAACCGCCUUGGGCCUCCUAGUGCCACCAAAAAGCCGCCAUGACUCGCCAUGACCCUCCUAGGCCCGUCUAGGUCGCCAAUGGAAUGCCUUAACCCGCCUUGACCCGUCUUGGCCCACGUUGGGCCGCCUUGACCCUCCUCGGCACUUCUUGGCCAACCUAGGGCAGCCAAGGGGGCUCCAUGACCUGUCUUGGCCUGCCUUGACCCCCCAAGGGGACGUCUUAAACCUCCGAGAUCUGCCUAGGGCCACCUUGAGCCUCCUAGACCCGCCAAGGGGCUGCUUAUGGCCGCCCCUUGACUCGCCUUGGUCUACAUUGACUCGCCUUGACCCGCGUUGGCCCGCCUUGACACGCCUUGGACCGCCUUGACCCGCCUUGGACCGCCUUGGCUCGCCUUGACCUGCCAUGACCCGCCUUGGCUCGCCUUGACCCGCUUUGAACCGCUUUGGCCCGCCGUGACCCUCUUAGACCCGCCUAGGGCCGCCUUGACCCUCCUAGACUCGCCUAGGGCCGCUAAAUGGCCGCCUUGACACGCCUAAGGCCGCCAAGGGGACGACUUGACCUGCCAAACCUUUUACCUGCCUAGUUCUGUUUUGACCUCCCAAGGGCUCGCCAAGACCCGCAUAGGGCUGCCAUGGGGCUAUCUUGACCCAUCUAGGGCCGCCUUGACCCGCCUUGGCCAGUUUUCGGCCGCUUUGGCCCGCCUUGGACAGCCAUGACCGGCCUUGGGCCGCCUUGACCGGCCUUGACCCGCCUUAGACCGCCUUGACCCUCCUUGAAUUGCCUUAACCCUACUAGAUCCGCCAAGGGGCUGCCUAGGGCCGCCAUGGGGUCGCCUUGAACUGCCUUGACCGGCCUUGGUCCGCCUUUACCCGCCUUGGCCUUCGUUAGGACGCCUUGGCCCGCUUUGGCCCGCUUUGACCCGCCUAGAGCCGACUUGGGCCUCCUUGACCCUCCUAGACCCGUCUAGUGCCGUCUUGACCCUCCUAAACUCGCCUAGGGCCACCAAGAAGCCCUCAUUACUCGCCAUGACACGUCAAAGGGCUGCAUUUACACGCCUUGAACCACCUAGGGUCGCCAAGAGGGCUGCUUUGACAUGACAAGGGCUAGCAUGACCCGCCAAGGGGAUGUCUACGGCCGUAAUGGGGCUACCUUGACCCGUCUAGGGCUGUCUUGGCCCGUCUUAAGCCGNNNNNNNNNNNNNNNNNNNNUUGACACGCCUUGGACCGCCUUGCACAGCCUUGACCCGCCUUGGACCGCCUUGACCCGUCAUGACCCGCCUUUACCCGCCUAGUUCUGUUUUGACCUUCCAAGGGCUCGCCAUGACCCGCCUAGGGCCGCCAAGGGGCUGCCUACAACCACCAUGGGGCUAUCUUGACCCAUCUAGGGCGGCCUUGACCCGCCUUGGACAGUCUUGAAUCGCCUUGGGCCGCCUUGACCCUACUAGAUCCGCCAAGGGGCUGCCUAGGACCGCCAUGGGGUAGCCUUGAACUGCCUUGACCGGCCUUGGUCCGCCUUAGACCCGGCUUGGACCCGCCUUGGCCAUCGUUAGGACGCCUUGGCCUGCUUUGGCCCGCCUUGACACGCCUAGAACCAACUUGGGCCUCCUUGACCCUCCUAGACCCGUUUAGGGCCGCCUUGACCCUCCUAGACUCGCCUAAAGCCACCAAGAAGCCCUCUUUACUCGCCAUGACACGUCAAGAGGGCUGCUUUGACACGCCAAGGGCUAGCAUGACACGCCAGGGGGCUGUCUACGGCCGCAAUGGGGCUACCUUGACCCGUCUAGGGUGCCUUAGCUCGUCUUAAGCCGCUUUGACCCGACUUGGCCCGCCCUGGACCGCCUUGGCCCCCCUUGACCCGCCUUGGGCCGCUAUGAGCCACCUUUGCCUGCCUUGACCAGCUUUGAACCGCUUUGGCACGCCUUAACCCGUCUUGGAUCGCCUUGGGUUGCCUUGACCCGCCUUAGGUCUCCUUGACCCCCUUGGACCGCCUUGAGCUGCCUUGACCCUCCAAGACCAAACUAGGGCCACCAAGAAGCCGACUCUCCAAGGGGUCUCCAUGACCCUUCUUGGCCCGUCUUGGGCCGCCUUAACACGCCUUGGGCAACCAUGACCCACCUAGAGCCGCCAAGGGGCUGACUUUACAUGUUUUGACCCGCCUACAGCCGCCAAGGGGCCGCCUUGGGUCGCUAAGGGGGUCGCCUUGACACGCCUCAGGCCGCCAAGGGGACGUCUUGACCCGCCUUAGCCUGCCUACGGCCGCCAUGGGCUAUCUUGACCCGCCUUUGACCGUCUUAGGCCGCUUUGACCCGCCUUGGGCCGCCUAUGACCGCCUUGACCCGCCGUGGGCUCUUUUGACCCGCAUUUGCCCGCCUUGAUUCGCCUUGACCCGCCUUGACCCUCGUAGACCCACCUAGGGCCACCAAGAAACUGCCAUGACACGGCAAGGGGUCGCCCUGACCCUCCUAGGCCCGUCUGGGGCAACCGUGACCCGCCUUAGCCUGCCGUGACCUGCCUUAGCCACCGCUUUGGACCACCUUGGGCUGCUUUGACCCGCCUUGCACCGCCUUGAACCGCCUUGGGCCGCCUUGAACCGCCUUGACCUUCCUAGAGCCGCCUUGACCCUCCUUGACUCGCAUAGGGCCAACAAAAAGCGGCCAUGACUCGCUAAGACCUGUGAAGGGACUUCCUUUACAUGUCUUAACCCUCUUAGGCCCGCCUUAGGCAGCCUUGACCCUCCUCGGCCCUUCUAGGCCCACCUAGGGCAGCCAAGGAGGAGCCAUGACCUACCUAGAGCCGCCAAGGGGCUGCCUUUACACGCCUUGACUAACCUAGGGCCAUAAAGGGGCUGCUUUGACCCUCCUAGAGCCGCCUUGACCCUCCUUGACUCGCCAAGGGCCAACAAAAAGCGGGAACCUCGAUUUUCAAGGGUAUUUGGUGAAUUUGCCAUGGUCGUGUUGACCUCAAUUCUUCUCAUACAGACAUCGGAAACCUCAAUUUUCAAAGAAAAUGAGGUAUUGCCCCUCAUUUUCAAGUUUCACCCAAUUCGAGCCAAAAGGCCCAAAACCCCUUGCUAUACACACGAGUUUCUGGCCAUUUUCACUUUUUUUAGGUCUCAUGUUUUUUUCGUUUGGGUAUGCUUAUAGACACAUCCUAACAUCUUUUGAACCAUUCUUGCAUCAAAAUUUCAUAUCAUUCAUUGUUUUACUCAAGAUUGGGCUUCAACGACUCACGUGCACCGUGUAUCGUAAAUCUAUGGAAACUGUUAUUUUCAAACGUAUUGGGUGAAUUUGCCAUGAUCGUGUUGACUUCAAUUCUUCUCAUACAGACAUCGGGAACCUCAAUUUUCAAAGAAAAUGAGGUAUUUUCAAAGAACCUCAAUUUUAAAACAUGAGCCUCUGAUUUUUAAGUUUCACCUAAUUCGAGCCAAAAGACCCAAAACCGCCUUGACCCGCAUUAGGCCAACUUAACCCUCCUAGACCCGCCUAGGGCGGUCUAGACCUUGCUAGACCCACCAAGGGGCUGCCUAGGGCCGUUAUGGGGCUGCGUUGACCGGCCUUGGGCCGCCUGACUCGGCUUGGACACCUAAUGCCACCUACAAGCCGCCAUGAUUUGCCAAGGUGUCGCCAUGUCCCUCCUAGGCUUGUCAAGGGAUGCCAAGGGACCGACUUAACCCGCCUUGACCCUCCUCGACCCGCCUAGGGCAGCCAAGGGGGGCGCAAUGACCCACCUAGGGCCGCCAAUGGGCUGCCUUUACAUGCCUUGACCCGUCUAGGGCCGCCAAGAGGCUUCCUUGACCCUUCUAUGGCCGCUUUAACCCUCCUAGACCUGCCUAGGGCCACCAAGAAGCCUCCAUGAACCGCCUUCAAUCACUUUUUACCGCCUUGGGCCGCCAAGAAGCCGCCAUGACUCGCCAAGUCGUCGCCAUGACCCUCCUAGACCCGUUUAGGGCCACCAAAAAGCCGCCAUGACUCGCCAAAGGGUCGCCAUGACCCUCCUUGGCUAUUCUAGGCCCACGUAGGCCAGCCAAGGUGGCGCCAUGACCCUCCUUGACCCUCCUAGACACGCUUUGGCCCGCCUUGGGCCGCUUUGACCCGUCUUUGCCCGCCUUAACUAGUAGACCCACCUAGGGACUCCUUGUCCCUCUAAGACCCGCCUAGGGCCGCCUUGUCCCUCCAAGACCAGCCAAGCUACUGCCCAGGGCCGCCUUAACCCGCCUUGGCUCGCCUUGACCCGCCUUGUACAUGCUUGGCCUUCGUUGGGCUGCCAUGCUCAUGUUGACUUCAAUUCUUCUCAUACAGACAUCGGGAACCUCAAUUUUCAAAGAAAAUGAGGUAUUGCCCCACAUUUUCAAGUUUCACCUAAUUCGAGCCAAAAAACCCAAAACUCAUUGCUAUAACACACGCGUUUCUAGCCAUUUUCACUUUUUUUAGGCCUCACGCUUUUUUGGUUUGGGUUUUCUUAUAGACACCCCAUAACAUCUUUUGAACCACUCUUGCAUCAAAAUUUAAUGCCAUUUAUUGUUUUACUCAAGAUCGAGCUUCAACGACUCACGUGCACUGUGUAUCGUAAAUCAACUCAAACUGUUAUUUUCAGGGGUAUUGGGUGAAUUUGCCAAGGNNNNNNNNNNNNNNNNNNNNNNNNNNNNNNNNNNNNNNNNNNNNNNNNNNNNNNNNNNNNNNNNNNNNNNNNNNNNNNNNNNNNNNNNNNNNNNNNNNNNNNNNNNNNNNNNNNNNNNNNNNNNNNNNNNNNNNNNNNNNNNNNNNNNNNNNNNNNNNNNNNNNNNNNNNNNNNNNNNNNNNNNNNNNNNNNNNNNNNNNNNNNNNNNNNNNNNNNNNNNNNNNNNNNNNNNNNNNNNNNNNNNNNNNNNNNNNNNNNNNNNNNNNNNNNNNNNNNNNNNNNNNNNNNNNNNNNNNNNNNNNNNNNNNNNNNNNNNNNNNNNNNNNNNNNNNNNNNNNNNNNNNNNNNNNNNNNNNNNNNNNNNNNNNNNNNNNNNNNNNNNNNNNNNNNNNNNNNNNNNNNNNNNNNNNNNNNNNNNNNNNNNNNNNNNNNNNNNNNNNNNNNNNNNNNNNNNNNNNNNNNNNNNNNNNNNNNNNNNNNNNNNNNNNNNNNNNNNNNNNNNNNNNNNNNNNNNNNNNNNNNNNNNNNNNNNNNNNNNNNNNNNNNNNNNNNNNNNNNNNNNNNNNNNNNNNNNNNNNNNNNNNNNNNNNNNNNNNNNNNNNNNNNNNNNNNNNNNNNNNNNNNNNNNNNNNNNNNNNNNNNNNNNNNNNNNNNNNNNNNNNGAACCUCAAUUUUCAAAUAAAAUGAGGUAUUGCCCCUUAUUUUCAAGUUUCACCCAAUUCGAACCAAAAGGCAGAUAACUCCUUGCAGCACACGAGUUUCUGGCCAGUUUCACAUUUUUUAGGCCUUCAGUUUUUUUCGUUUGUGUAUGCUUAUAGUAACCUCCCUAACAUCUUUUGAACCAUUGUUGCAUCAAAAUUUCAUGCCAUUUAUUGUUUCACUUGAGAUCGGGCUUCCAUGACUCACGUGCACCAUGUAUCGUAAAUCAACUCAAACUGUUAUUUGCAAGGGUAUUGGGUGAAUUGUCGUGUUGACUUCAAUUCUUUUCAUACAGAUAUCGGGAACCUCAAUUUUCAAAUAAAAUGAGGUAUUGCCACUCAUUUUCAAGUUUCACCUAAGUCGAGCCAAAAGGUCCAAAACCUCUUACUAUAACACACGUGUUUCUGGCCAUUUUCAUUUUUUAUAGGCCUCCUGCAUUUUUGGUUUAGGUAUGCUUAUAGCCACCUCCUAACAACUUUUGAACCAUUCUUGCAUCAAAAUUUCAUGUCAUUUAUUGGUUUACUCAAGAUCGGGGUUUAACGACUCACGUGCACCGUGUAUCGUAAAUCAACUCGAACUAUUAUUUUCAAGGCUAUCGGGUGAAUUUGCCAAGGUCUUGUUGACUUCAAUUCUUCUCGUACAGACAUCGGGAACCUCAAUUUUUAAAAAAAAUGAGGUAUUGCCCCUCAUUUUCAAGAUUCACCCGAUUCGAGCCAAAAGGCCCAAAACCUAUUGCCUUAGCACACGAGUUUCGGGCCAUUUUCACUUUUUUUAGGCCUCCAGUUUUUUCGUUUGAGUAUGCAUAUAGACACCUCGUAACAUCUUUUCAACCAUUCUUGUAUCAAAAUUUCAUGUCAUUUAUUGUUUUACUCAAGAUCAGGCUUCAAUGACUCACAUGCACCGUGUAUCGUAAAUCAACAGAAACUGUUAUUUUCAAGGGUAUUAGGUGAAUUUACUAAGGUUGGGUUGAUUCAAUUCUUCUCAUACAGACAUUGAGAACCUCAAUUUUGAAAGAAAAUGAGGUAUUGCCCCUUAUUUUCAAGUUUCACCCAAUUCAAGCCAAAAGGCUCAAAACUUCUUGCUAUAGCACACGAGUUUCUGGCCAUUUUCACUUUUUUAAGGCCUCCAGUUUUUUCGUUUGUGUAUGCUUAUAGACACCUCUUAACAUCUUUUAAAACAUUCUUGCAUCACAAUUUCAUGUCAUUUAUUGUUUUACUCAAGAUCGGGCUUCAACGACUCACAUGCACCGUGUAUUGUAAAUCAACUCUAACUGUUAUUUUCAGGGGUAUUGGGUGAAUUUUCCGUGGUCGGGUUGAUUCAAUUAUUCUCAUACAGACAUCAGGAACCUCAAUUUUCAAAGAAAAUGAGGUAUUGCCCUUUAUUUUCAAGUUUCACCCAAUUCGAGCCAAAAAGUCCCAAAACUCUUUGCUAUAGCACACGAGUUUCUGGCCAUUUUCACUUUUUUACGGCCUCCUACUUUUUGGUUUGGGUAUGCUUUUAGACACCUCCUAACAUCUUUUGAACCAUUCUUGCAUCAAAAUUUCAUGCCAUUUAUUGUUUUACUCAAGAUCGGGCUUCAACGACUCAUGUACAACGUGUAUCGUAAAUCAACUCAAACUAUUAUUUUCAAGGGUAUUGGGUGAAUUGUCAUGUUGACUUCAAUUCUUCUCACACAGACAUCAGAAACCUCAAUUUUCAAAGAAAAUGAGGUGUGGCCCCUCAUUUUUUAGUUUCACCCAGUUCAAGAAAAACUGUUAUUUUCAGGGGUAUUGGGUGAAUUUGAUAAAGUCGGGUUGAUUCAAUUCUUCUCAUACAGACAUCGGGAACCUCAAUUUUCAAAGAAAAUGAGGUAUUGCCCUUCAUUUUCAAGUUUCACCCAAUUCGAGCCAAAAAGCCCAAAACUCCUUGCUAUAGUACACGAGUUUCUGACCAUUUUUAAUUUUUUUAGGCCUCUUGUUUUUUUCAUUUGAGUGUGCUUAUAGAUACCUCUUAACAUCUUUUGAACCAUUCUAGCAUCAAAAUUCCGUUUCAUUUAUUGUUUUAUUCAAGGGGCUGCCUAGGGCCGCUAUGGGGCCGCCUUGACAUGCCUUGGACACCUAGUGCCACCGAGAAGCCUCCAUGAUUUGCCAAGGUGUCGCCAUGACCUCUUGUAGGCCCGGCUGGGGCCGCCAAGGGACCGCCUUGACCUUCCUCGGCCCACCUAGGGCAGCCAAAGGGGCGCCAUGUCCCUCCUAGGGCCGCCAAGGGGCUGCCUUAACACGCCUUGACCCGUCUAGGGCCGCCAAGAGGCAUCCUUAACCCUUCUAGGGCCGCCUUGACCCUCCUAGACCCGCCUAGGGCCACCAAGAAGCCUCCAUGAGCCGCCUUCAACCUCUUUGGACCGCCUUAGGUCGCCUAGAAGCCUCCAUAACUCGCCAAGUUGUCGCCAUGACCCUCUUAGACCUGUCUAGGGCUACCAAGAAACCGCCAUGACCCUCCUUGGCUCUUCUAGGCCCACGUAGGGCAGCCCAGGUGGCGUCUUGACAUCUCUUGGGCUGCCUUGGACUGCCUUCGGCCCGCCUUGUACCGCCUUGACCCUCCUAGACCAGCCUAGGACCACCAAGAAGCCGCCAUGACUCGCCAAAGGGUCUUUAUGACCCUUCUAGAGACGUCUUAACCCGCCUUGACCCACGUUAGCCCGUUUUAGGCUACCUUGAUCUGCCUUGACCGGAGUUGAGCCUUCUUGACCCUCCUAGACUCGCCUAGGGCUGCCUUGACCCUCCUAGACUCGUAUAGGGCUGCCUUGACCCUCCUAGACCCGCCAAGGGGAUGCCUAAGGCCGCCUUGACCAGCCUUGGACCCGCCUUGGCCUUCGUUGGGCCGCCUUGACCCGCCUUGGGCCGCCUUGACCCUCCUUGACUCGCCUAGAGCAAGAAGCUGCCAUGACUCGCCAUGACCCGUCAAGGGGCUUCCUUUACACGCCUUGACCCUCCUAGGGCCACCUUGACCCGUGUAGAGCCGCCAAGGGCCGCCUUAACCAGUAUUGGCCCGCCUUAACCUGCCUAGAGCCGCCAAGGGGCUGCCUUUACAUGUCUUGACCCGUUUAGGGCAGCCAAGAAAUCGUCAUAACAUUCCUAGGGCUGCCAAGGGGACGUCUUGACCUGCCAAGGGUUGCCUUUACAUGCCUAGGGAUGUUUUCAACUCCCUAGGGACCGCCAUGACCCGCCUCGGCUCGCCAUGACCCGCUUUGACCUACUUUGGCCCGUCUUGACCCGUUUUUGACCGUCUUGACCACCUUUGACUUGCCAUGGGCCGCCUUGACCCGGCUUGGGCCACCUUGAACUGUCUUGGGCCGCCUUGACCCUCCUAGACCCACCUAGGGCCAUCAAGAAGCCGUCAUGACUCGCCAAGGGGUCGCCAUGACCAUCCUAGGGCCGUCUGGGGCCACCUUGACCUGCCUUGGGCCGCCUUGACCCGCCUUGGACACGUAGUGCCACCAAGAAGCCACCAUGACUCGCCAAGGGGUCCCCAUGACCCUUCUAUGGCCGCUUUGACCCGUCUUGGCCCGCCUUAACCCUCCUUGGCCCUUCUAGACCCACCUAGGGCAGCUAAGGGGGACCCAUGACCCACCUACAACAGCCAAAAGGUUGCCUUUACAUGCUUUGACCCGCCUAGGGCCGCCAAGGGGGCCGCCUUGACACGCCUAAGGCCGCCAAGGGAACUUCUUGACCUGCCAAGGGGGUGCCUUUACACACCUUGACCCACCUAGGGCCGCUAAAGUGGCUGCUUUGACACGCCUAGGGCCGCCAAUGGGGCUGCCUUUACACGCCUAGACCCGUUUUGGGCCCCUAAAAGACCGCCAUAACAUUCCUAGGGCCGCCUUGACACACCUAGGGCCACCAAAGGGACGUCUUGACCCGCCCAGGGGUUGCCUUUACACUCCUAGGGCUGUUUUGACCUCUCUAGGGACCGCCAUGACCCGCUUAGGGCCGCCAAGGGUCUGCAUACGUCCGCCAAAGGGACACCUUGACCCGCCAUGACCCGCUUUGACUUGCCUUGGUCCGCCAUGACCCGUCUUGGAACGCCUUGAACCGCCAUGGGCCGCCUUGACCCGGCUUGGGCCGCCUUGAACCACCUUGGGCCGCCAUGACCCUCCUAGACCCACCUAAGGCCACCAAGAAGCCGGCAUGACUCCCCAAAGGGUCGCCAUGACCAUCCUAGGUCCGUCUAGGGCUGCCUUGACCCACUUUGACCCGCCUUAACCUUUCUAGGCUUUUCUGGGCCUACCUUAGCUAGCCAACGGCCGACCAAGGGGGUGCCUUGACCUUUCUUGGCCCUCCUUGGGCUGCCUUGCCCCGCCUUGAUCCGCUUUGGACCGUCUUGAAAAGCCUUGGGUCGCCUCCUAGACCCGCUAGGGGGCUGCCUUUACAUGCCCUGACCCGUCUCGGGCCCCUUGACCCGUCUUGGACCGCCUUGACUCGCCUUGGCCUUUGGUGGGCCGCCUUGGCCGGCCUUGACCCUCCUUGACUCACCUAGGGCCACCAAGAAGCCGCCAUGACUCACCAUAACCGGUCAAGGGGCUUCCUUCACACGCCAUCACCAUCCUAGGCCUGCCUAGGGCCACCUUGACUCGUGUAAGACCGCCAAGGGCCGCCUUAAGCUGCCUUGACCCUUCUUGGCCCUCCUCGGCCCUUCUAGGCCCACCUAGGGAAGCGAAGGGGGAGCCAUGGCCCACCUAGAGCCACCAAGGGGCUGCAUUUAUACGCCUUGACCCAACUAGGGCCGCCAAGGGGCUGCUUUAACACACCUAGGGCCGCCAUGACCCGCCUAGGGCCGCCUAGACCCGUCAUGGCCCGUCUUGACCCGCCUUGGCCCGCCCCUUGACCCGCCUUGGAGCGCCUUGCACCGCCUUGAACUUCCUUAGCCCGCCUUGACCCGCCAUGACCCGCCUUGACCCGCUUUGAACCGCUUUGGCCCGCCUUGACCCUUUGAGACCCACCUAGGGCUGUCUUGACCCUCCUAGACUCGCCUAGGGCCGCUAAAUGGCCGCCUUGACACGCCUAAGGCCGCCAAGGGGACGACUUGACCUGCCAAACCCUUUACACGCCUAGUUCUGUUUUGACCUCCCAAGGGCCCGCCAUGACCCACCUAGAGCCGCCAUAGGGCUAUCUUGACCCAUCUAGAACCGAUUUUGGCCUCCUUGACCCUCUUAGACCCGCCUAGGGCCGCCUUGACCCUCCUAGACUCGCCUAGGGUCACCAAGAAGCCGUCAUUACUCGCCUUUAACCAACUAGGGCUGCCAAGGGGGCUGUUUUGACACGCCAAGGGCCGCCAUGACCCGCCAAGGGGCUGUCUACGGCCGCCUUGACCCGCCUUGGCUCGCUUUGGCCCCCUUUGACCCGCCUUGCGCCGCUAUGACCCGUCUUUGCCAGCCUUGACCAGCUUUGAACCGCUUUGACACGCCUUAACCCGUCUUGGACCGCCUUGACUAUCCAAGACCCAACUGGGGCCACUAAGAAGCCGCCAUGACUCACCAAGGGGUCUCCAUGACCCUUCUAGGGCCGCCUUAGGCCGCUUGACCCGUCUUAGGCCACCUUAACACGCCUUAGGCAGCCAAGGGGGAGCCAUGACCCACCAAGAGCCGCCAAGGGGCUGCCUUUACACGCCUUCACCUGCCUAUAGCCGCCAAGGGGCCGCCUUGACACGCCUUGGGUCGCUAAGGGGGCCGCCUUGAGAUGCCUCAGGCCGCCAAUGGGACGUCUUGACCCGCCUUGGUCCGCUUACGGCAACCAUGGGGCUAUCUUGACCCGUCUAUGGCCGCCUUGACCCGCCUUGGACUGUCUUGGGCCGCUUUGACCAGCCUUGGACCCGCCUAUGACCGCCUUGGACCGCCUUGACCCCCUUGGGCCAUUUUGACCGGCAUUUGUCCGCCUUGACCCGCCUUGGGCUACCUUGGCCCUCCUAGACCCACCUAGGGCCACCAAGAAGCCGCCAUGACACGGCAAGGGUUGUCUUGACCCUCCUAAGCUCGUCUGGGGCCACGGUGACCCGCCUUGACCCUCCUCGACUCUUCUAGGCCCACCUAGGGCAGCGAAGGGGGCGUUUUGACCCGCCUUGGACCACCUUGGGCUGCUUUGACCCACCUUAGGCCGCCUUGACCCACCUUGAACCACCUUGACCCUCCUAGACCCGCCUUGACUCGCCUAGGGCCAACAAAAAGCGGCCAUGACUCGCCAAGACCCGUGAAGGGACUUCCUUUCCACAUCUUAACCCUCCUAGGCCCGCCUUGACCCGUCUUGGCCCGCCUUAGGCCGCCUUGACUCUCCUCGGCCCUUCUAUGCCCACCUAGGGCAGCCAAGGAGGAGCCAUGACCCAUCUAGAGCCGCUAAGGGGAUGUCUUUACACGCCUUGACCCACCUAGGGCUGCCAUGGGGCUGGUUUAACACGCCUAGGGACGCCAAGGGGGCCGCCAUGACCCGCCUAGGGCUGCGUACGGCUGCCAUGAGGCUACCUUGACCCGUCUAAGGCCGCCUUAACCCGCCUGGACCGCCUUGGAUUGCCUUGACCCGCCUUGUCCCGUUUUGGGCCGCUUUAACCCACCUUGAACCGCUUUAACCCGCCUUGACCCAUCUUGGACCGCCUUGGACCUCCUUGAGCCACUUUGGUGAAUUUGCCAAGGUUGGGUUGACUUCAAUUCUUCUCAUACAGACAUCGGGAACCUCAAUUUUCAAAGAAAAUGAGGUAUUGCCUCUCAUUUUCAAGUUUCACCCAAUUCAAGCUAAAACGCCCAAAACUCUAUGGCACACGAGUUUCUAACCGUUUUCACUUUUUUUAGGCCUCUUGCAUUUUUGGUUUGACUAUGCUUAUAGACACCUCGUAACAUCUUUUGAUCACCAUUCUUGCAUCAAAAUUUCAUGACAUUUAUUAUUGAAUUAAUUACUGGUCACUCCAUUAACUUUCAUGCGCUCGACAGUUUACUCCAUUAACUUUUAAUUUCAAUCGAUUACUCCAUUAACUAUCCAAUGUCACACAAUUAUGUCCAUCCGUUAAGUGGCAGUCCAAAUCAGUGGUUAAGUUACUGACUGGACAUAUUUUUCAACUGGAAAUUCCAUUUAACACCCUCCCUCCCUCCCUCCUUAAUCUCUUCAAUCUCUUCUGUCUCCUCCUCCACCUCCUCCGCAACCACAACGCCACCACAUCACCAAUUGGACCUUCAACAACACCGCAACAACAAUACCAGCAACUAACCAACCAACCACACCACCAGCAACCAACCACAUCAACACCGUAAUCAAACACACCGCAACCAGACCACCAGCAACCAACCACACCACCAGUAGCUCAUCCCGCAGCUCCUCGACAUCUCUCUCCCGACGCUAAAAACUCAAACCCACCUACCUCGCAUCUCUCUCCCGAAGCCCAAAACUCAAACCCUCACAACAAUCUUCUCCCUUCACCGCCAACCAAACCCUAAACAACACCAUCCAUGAAGUCUUUCCGUUUUCCGCUUCAAACCCGUGCUAGACUUGAAAUCUCAACCACUUCGAAUCCCCAGCCAACAACCUCUUCUCGCUCGCCUCCCCUUCCUCUAUAUGAAAUUGAAGUCAUUUGUUUGAUUGGAAAUAGAUUUGGGAAUUGGGGGUUUCAAUCCCUAAAAUUUCAGAUUUGGGAAUUGGAAGUGUUGAACGGUGAGCCACUAGAGGGCGUUGGUGCGGUUGGUGGCCAGAGGUGGGACACUAGCGCGUUGGGGAUGGUGAGGAGGAGGGUGGUGUUAGAGUAGAGGAAGGCACAGACGAGGUUGGGGUCAGAGACGUCAAGGCGGAGGGCGGCGAGGUUGAGAGAAGUGAUGGUCGAGGCCACGCGCUCCGGUAGCAGAGGGGUGGGGCAGGUGGCGACGGUGGAGGCGGAAUAGGUGACGCUGAUGGUGAUGGAUGAGGCGGCGUCCGACGAGGAAGAGGAGGGUGAUGAGAGAAACGGCGGAGAGAGAAAAGUGGGAAGCCAUGGCUGGCUCAUGGGUUUUAAAUGUGUGUGUGUGUGUGUGUGUGUGAGAGAGAGAGAGAGAGAGAGAGAGAGAGAGAGAGAGAGAGAGAGAGAGAGGAGGUAGGUAGUAGUAGUAGUAGUAUAGUAUAUAUACGUACGUACUACUAACUAACCUUAACUAACUUACGUUAGUUAGUUACGUACGUAACGUACGUACGUACGUACGUACGUACGUAGUUAGUAGUAGUAGUAGUAGAGUAGUAGUACGUACGUAGUAGUACGUAGUAGUAGUAGUAGUAGUAGUAGUAGUAGUAGUAGUAGUAGUAACGUAAGGUAGUAGUAGAGUAGAAGUAGUAGUAGAGUAGAGUAGUAGUUAGUAGUAGUAGUAGUUAGUAGUAGUAGUAGUAGUAGAGNAGAGAGAGAGAGAGAGAGGUGGGGUGUUAAAUGGAAUUUUCAGUUGAAAAAUAUGUCCAGUCAGCAACUUAACCAUUGAUUUGGAUGACCACUUAACGGAUGGACCUAAUUGUGUGACAUUGGAUAGCUAAUGGAGUAAUUAUCGAUUGAAAUUGAAAGUUAAUGGAGUAAACUGUCAAGUGCAUGAAAGUUAAUGGAGUGACCAGUAAUUUCUCCUUUAUUAUUUUACUUAAGAUCGGGCUUCAGCGACUCACGUGAACCAUGUACCAUAAAUCAACUCAAAUUGUUAUUUUCGGGGUAUUGGGUGAAUUUGCCAAGGUCUUGUUGACUUCAAUUCUUCUCAUACAGACAUCGGGAACCUCAAUUUUCAAAGAAAAUGAGGUAUUGCCCCUCAUUUUCAAGUUUCACCCAACUCGAGCCAACUGGCCCAAAACUCCUUGCUAUAGCAAACGAGUUUCUGGCCAUUUUCACUUUUUUUAGGUCUCCUGUUUUUUUGGUUUGGGUAUGCUUAUAGACACCUCCUAACAUCUUUUAAACUAUUCUAGCAUCAAAAUUUCAUGUCAUUUAUUGUUUUACUCAAGGUCGGGCUUCAACAACUCACGUUCACCGUG